AAAUCAUGUUGGGGGAAAUUCUAAGCAAUCAUUUAUACCUCUCCCAUGCUUCAUAUAAAGACUCUCCAACCUCUUAUUGAAAAUUAGUUAUCUUGUUUUUGAGGUU